ACAUGCAGUCGAACGGCAGCACAGCAGUAGCAAUACUGUGGGUGGCGAGUGGCGGACGGGUGAGUAAUGCAUCGGGACCUACCUAGACGUGGGGGAUAACGUAGGGAAACUUACGCUAAUACCGCAUACGUCCUACGGGAGAAAGCGGGGGAUCUUCGGACCUCGCGCGGUUAGACGGACCGAUGUUCGAUUAGCUAGUUGGCAGGGUAAUGGCCUACCAAGGCGACGAUCGAUAGCUGGUCUGAGAGGAUGAUCAGCCACACUGGAACUGAGACACGGUCCAGACUCCUACGGGAGGCAGCAGUGGGGAAUAUUGGACAAUGGGCGCAAGCCUGAUCCAGCAAUGCCGCGUGUGUGAAGAAGGCCUUCGGGUUGUAAAGCACUUUUAUCAGGAGCGAAAUACUACUGGCUAAUAACCGGUGGGGCUGACGGUACCUGAGGAAUAAGCAC
rnacentral:rRNA from 2 species